UACAGAGGGUGCAAGCGUUAAUCGGAAUUACUGGGCGUAAAGCGUGCGUAGACGGUUAUGUAAGUCGGGUGUGAAAGCCCCGGGCUCAACCUGGGAAUUGCAUUCGAGACUGCAUAGCUAGGGUGCGGAAGAGGGAAGCGGAAUUUCCGGUGUAGCGGUGAAAUGCGUAGAGAUCCGGAAGAACACCGGUGGCGAAGGCGGUCUGCUGGGGUAAUGCUGACACUGAUGCGCGACAGCGUGGGGAGCAAACAGG
rnacentral:rRNA from 1 species